rnacentral:rRNA from 1 species
CGGAUGCGAUCAUACCAGCACGAA